CUGGGGUGUUGCGUGUAACAUCUUUUACUGGGAGAAUUUCUGAUGAGCGGGAGGAUAAGUUCUCCCCCUUCGUGCCCUUCCCUCAGAGGUACGGAGGAUGGAGGCUUUGCUCGAAUGGCGGGAUCGGGCGUCGGUCUGAGGCGUUUCCCAUCUGCUGUGGGACACCAACGCGGAACCUUCUGCUAGGGGAGGAAACUGUGGGGCUUUUUCGCGGUUGGGGUAAGGGGAAUUCGAGCUGUACCGCUGAAAGGAGGAAAGAUUGUGAAUAACAAACGUGGUUAAUGCGGGAUAAUAUGCCGACGGUGACUGUCGAGUACGAAUGCUCUGGUUCCGUGCGGGAUUCCAUACCCCUAUAGUCGAUGCAAGCGUUAUCCGGAAUUAUUGGGCGUAAAGCGUCCGCAGGUGGCAUUUCCAGUCUGCUGUCAAAGACCAAGGCUCAACCUUGGGCAGGCAGUGGAAACUGAAAAGCUAGAGUGCGGUAGGGGUAGGGGGAAUUCCCAGUGUAGCGGUGAAAUGCGUAGAGAUUGGGAAGAACACCGGUGGCGAAAGCGCCCUACUAGGCCGCAACUGACACUCAGGGACGAAAGCUAGGGUAGCGAAUGGGAUUAGAUACCCAAUUAGUCAGGAGUCGAGUGCGCUUAGGUGUGAGGUACACGAUAAGGGAUUAGAUACCCCCGGUAGUCAGACGCAAA
rnacentral:rRNA from 1 species